AGGCGAGCCGGUGCCCAGAUCUCUGGAGGGACUGUUUGUGUACGAAGAGAGGAGCACCUCUCCUCCCGCCAACGACACCAUCGUGGUGGAGCAGUGGACCGUCAUCGAGGGCUCUAAUGUGAAGACGGACUACGGACCCCUGCUUCACACGCUGGCUGAGUUUGGUUGGCUGCUCACCUGCGUGCUGCCCACUCCCAUCAUCCGCCACGACAGUGAUGGGAAUCUGGCCACGAAGCAGGUUGUGUUUCUGCAGCGUCCGGUCAGAGGUCAGGCAGCGGGGCAACAGAGGAUCCCGACCCUCUCGGUGCACAGCGAGGUUUCCAAUCGCUCCGUGAGUCGGUCGGUCAGCAGCCCCCUCUCCCCCCCCCGAGGAUCCCUCUCCCACCGCGGGGGGCAUCGGGGGCUUCCCAGUGUUCGGGGGUGGGGGGUAUCCCAGCGCCCUGUCCCACCUGGAGGAGGGGGGCUUCGAGCAGGAGGAGGGGAAAGCUGAGGUC